rfam:Ovis aries breed Texel chromosome 15, whole genome shotgun sequence.
UCCCUGGUGGCUCAGAGGUUAAAAAGCGUUUGUCUGCAAGGCGGAAGACCCAGGUUCAAUCCCUGGGUUGGGAA